UCUGUCUGUUUGUUUGUUUGUUGUUGUUGUUGUUGUUUUUGAGAUAAGGUAGCUCUGGUUGGCCUAAAACUAUGUGGAUCAGGUCAGUCUUGAACUGACUCUGCCUCCUGAGUGUUGAGCAGAAGGUCGUGACUAGAUCUGACUGCAGAUGCUCCCCCCGCACCCCCCGAAGGAACCAAAUUGUUUUAAUGAUGUGUCUCCUCUCCAACUCCUCCUAGCUCCUGGCCUCCCUCACAAUGGAGAAGAAUCCUCUCAAGGCCACGUCUACACUUCCAAAUGAAAAGCAGCAGCUACGAGCUGCUGUCUUCAACAUCUCCAGGACGGUGAUUGAACGUGAUUUCCCUUGGCUGCUUCACACCCUUAGCUCGGUCCUCAUUUGGCUUUGUGUGUUCUUGCAUGGAGGUCACAGAACUCAACUCUUCAGUGCCACUUCACUCCUCUUCUGCACCUGUGACCUAAGCUACAGGUAGCACUGCCUGGCAUCGUGACAGUCUGCAUCCCCAUUACCUUGAGAGCCAGAAAGAAACCUCCUCUAUGGUCCUCAAGAGGGUGUGACCUUCAUCCCCCAACCCCUCAGAAGCAGAGUGAAGAGUUGUAGUCUGACUAGAGCCUGCUACCCAGACUCAGCUCUCCAGAGGCUUGAGUUGGCCUCAGAACCUGGAGCUGCCUUUUGCUUAGGUGUUUGCUGCUGGUG